rnacentral:rRNA from 1 species
UACGGAGGGUGCAAGCGUUAAUCGGAAUUACUGGGCGUAAAGCGCACGCAGGUGGCUGAGUAAGUCGAUUGUGAAAGCCCUGGGCUUAACCUGGGAAUUGCAGUCGAUACUGCUCGGCUAGAGUAUGGGAGAGGGUAGUGGAAUUCCCGGUGUAGCGGUGAAAUGCGUAGAUAUCGGGAGGAACAUCAGUGGCGAAGGCGGCUUUCUGGACGGUAACUGACGCUGAGACGCGAAAGCGUGGGUAGCAAACAGG